UACGGAGGGGGUUAGCGUUGUUCGGAAUUACUGGGCGUAAAGCGCGCGUAGGCGGACCAGAAAGUUGGGGGUGAAAUCCCGGGGCUCAACCCCGGAACGGCCUCCAAAACUCCUGGUCUUGAGUUCGAGAGAGGUGAGUGGAAUUCCGAGUGUAGAGGUGAAAUUCGUAAAUAUUCGGAGGAACACCAGUGGCGAAGGCGGCUCACUGGCUCGAUACUGACGCUGAGGUGCGAAAGUGUGGGGAGCAAACAGG
rnacentral:rRNA from 1 species